rnacentral:misc_RNA from 1 species
GAUGAAGAACGUAGCGAAAUGCGAUACGUAAUGUGAAUUGCAGAAUUCAGUGAAUCAUCGAAUCUUUGAACGCAUAUUGCGCUCUCUGGUAUUCCGGAGAGCAUGCUUGUUUGAGUAUCAGUAAACACCUCAACUUCCAUAUCUUUUUUGAAAUGGGAGUUGGACUUGAGUGAUCCCAACGCUUUUCCUCACCGAAAAGUGGCGGGUUACUUGAAAUGCAGGUGCAGCUGGACUUUUCUCUGAGCUAUAAGCAUAUCUAUUUAGUCUGCCCAAAAAACAGAUUAUUACCUUUGCUGCAGCUAACAUAAAGGAGAUUAGUUCUUGUGCUGACUGAUGCAGGAUUCACAAAGACGGCUUCGGCCGACUUUGUAAACUCGGUCUCAAAUCAAGUAAGACUACCCGCUGAACUUAAGCAUAUCAAUAAGCGGAGGA